GUUCUUGUAGUUGAAUUACAACGAUGGUUCUUCAAAUCAUUGGUCUCGAUUAGAGUUCGAGCAGGAAUU
rnacentral:tRNA from 1 species